rnacentral:rRNA from 2 species
GGCGGUGUGCCUAAUACAUGCAAGUCGAACGCGUUGGCCCAAUUGAUUGAUGGUGCUUGCACCUGAUUGAUUUUGGUCGCCAACGAGUGGCGGACGGGUGAGUAACACGUAGGUAACCUGCCCAGAAGCGGGGGACAACAUUUGGAAACAGAUGCUAAUACCGCAUAACAGCGUUGUUCGCAUGAACAACGCUUAAAAGAUGGCUUCUCGCUAUCACUUCUGGAUGGACCUGCGGUGCAUUAGCUUGUUGGUGGGGUAACGGCCUACCAAGGCGAUGAUGCAUAGCCGAGUUGAGAGACUGAUCGGCCACAAUGGGACUGAGACACGGCCCAUACUCCUACGGGAGGCAGCAGUAGGGAAUCUUCCACAAUGGGCGCAAGCCUGAUGGAGCAACACCGCGUGAGUGAAGAAGGGUUUCGGCUCGUAAAGCUCUGUUGUUAAAGAAGAACACGUAUGAGAGUAACUGUUCAUACGUUGACGGUAUUUAACCAGAAAGUCACGGCUAACUACGUGCCAGCAGCCGCGGUAAUACGUAGGUGGCAAGCGUUAUCCGGAUUUAUUGGGCGUAAAGAGAGUGCAGGCGGUUUUCUAAGUCUGAUGUGAAAGCCUUCGGCUUAACCGGAGAAGUGCAUCGGAAACUGGAUAACUUGAGUGCAGAAGAGGGUAGUGGAACUCCAUGUGUAGCGGUGGAAUGCGUAGAUAUAUGGAAGAACACCAGUGGCGAAGGCGGCUACCUGGUCUGCAACUGACGCUGAGACUCGAAAGCAUGGGUAGCGAACAGGAUUAGAUACCCUGGUAGUCCAUGCCGUAAACGAUGAGUGCUAGGUGUUGGAGGGUUUCCGCCCUUCAGUGCCGGAGCUAACGCAUUAAGCACUCCGCCUGGGGAGUACGACCGCAAGGUUGAAACUCAAAGGAAUUGACGGGGGCCCGCACAAGCGGUGGAGCAUGUGGUUUAAUUCGAAGCUACGCGAAGAACCUUACCAGGUCUUGACAUCUUGCGCCAACCCUAGAGAUAGGGCGUUUCCUUCGGGAACGCAAUGACAGGUGGUGCAUGGUCGUCGUCAGCUCGUGUCGUGAGAUGUUGGGUUAAGUCCCGCAACGAGCGCAACCCUUGUUACUAGUUGCCAGCAUUAAGUUGGGCACUCUAGUGAGACUGCCGGUGACAAACCGGAGGAAGGUGGGGACGACGUCAGAUCAUCAUGCCCCUUAUGACCUGGGCUACACACGUGCUACAAUGGACGGUACAACGAGUCGCGAACUCGCGAGGGCAAGCAAAUCUCUUAAAACCGUUCUCAGUUCGGACUGCAGGCUGCAACUCGCCUGCACGAAGUCGGAAUCGCUAGUAAUCGCGGAUCAGCAUGCCGCGGUGAAUACGUUCCCGGGCCUUGUACACACCGCCCGUCACACCAUGAGAGUUUGUAACACCCAAAGUCGGUGGGGUAACCUUUUAGGAGCCAGCCGCCUAAGGUGGGACAGAUGAUUAGGGUGAAGUCGUAACAAGGUAGCCGUAGGAGAACCUGCGGCUGGAUCACCUCCUUUCUAAGGAA